rnacentral:tRNA from 1 species
AAGUUUGUAGUUUAAUGUAAAACGGUUUUAUGUGGUGAAAAUAAUGGAAUAAUCCCAAACUAA